UUUCCGUAGGUGAACCUGCGGAAGGAUCAUUACCGAGUGAGGGCCCUUUGGGUCCAACCUCCCACACGUGUUUCUUUACCUUGUUGCUUCGGCGGGCCCGCCUUAACUGGCCGCCGUGGGGUUAACGCCCCCGGGCCCGCGCCCGCCGAAGACACCCUCGAACCCUGUCUGAAGAUUGUAGUCUGAGUGAAAAUAUAAAUUAUUUAAAACUUUCAACAACGGAUCUCUUGGUUCCG
rnacentral:misc_RNA from 1 species